rnacentral:rRNA from 1 species
UGGGGAAUUUUGGACAAUGGGCGAAAGCCUGAUCCAGCAAUGCCGCGUGUGUGAAGAAGGCCUUCGGGUUGUAAAGCACUUUUGUCCGGAAAGAAAUCCUUGGCUCUAAUACAGUCGGGGGAUGACGGUACCGGAAGAAUAAGCACCGGCUAACUACGUGCCAGCAGCCGCGGUAAUACGUAGGGUGCAAGCGUUAAUCGGAAUUACUGGGCGUAAAGCGUGCGCAGGCGGUUUGCUAAGACCGAUGUGAAAUCCCCGGGCUCAACCUGGGAACUGCAUUGGUGACUGGCAGGCUAGAGUAUGGCAGAGGGGGGUUAGAAUUCCACGUGUAGCAGUGAAAUGCGUAGAGAUGUGGAGGAAUACCGAUGGCGAAGGCAGCCCCCUGGGCCAAUACUGACGCUCAUGCACGAAAGCGUGGGGAGCAAACAGGAUUAGAUACCCUGGUAGUCCACGCCCUAAACGAUGUCAACUAGUUGUUGGGGAUUCAUUUCCUUAGUAACGUAGCUAACGCGUGAAGUUGACCGCCUGGGGAGUACGGUCGCAAGAUUAAAACUCAAAUGAAUUGACGGGGU